UCUAAAUAGCUACCAACAAGCUGCAGUAGAAGUCUUUGUCACACGGAAAUUUUUAGAGAACUGUUGCGGUGGUCAGAUACUGAAUCUGUUCACCAUUUUUGCAUUGGUUCCAACUUAUCAGUUUCAACAGCUUUUUAUUAUUCUGAAAGGAUUAUCAACCAUAACGUUUUUUGCUCAGAGGUGCCUAUUUAUACAGUUCAUGUCUGUGCCUAGCUUUCCGAAAGUCCAACUUCAAAGUGUUUGUUUAGUUGACUAGUGGACUCUAGGAGGCUGCUUGUAGAUCAAACUCAAAGGCCAAGUUGUUAGAAGGUUUGUUCAGUCUCUUAGUGACCAUGCCGUUGGUAUUGGGAGUAGAGUCAUUCGUGGAGUCAGACCAGAUCAGCAGUUGGUGAAGGCUGGUGAAUAUUUUGGAAUUACUCCUAAACAGCCUGUCAUAAUGUUGUCAAAGGAUGGAUCACAACAAGCAGAAAGUGGCCUCUUGGCGGUUUUGCUAACAGGUGAGUCUCCCAGUUGUUAGAAGGUUUGUUUAAUCUGUUAGUCGCCUAGACGUUGGGAUGGGAGUCAUUCGUGGAGUCGGACCAAAUCAGCAGUUGGUCAAGAUUCUACAUGAUGAGCUAGUGAAAUUGAUAGGUGGAGGGGAAGUAUAUGUGCUACAGGUUACUAAAUUUGGUCCUACAGUAAUAUUGUUGGCUGGGCUCCAAGGAGUUGGAAAUAUAACUUUCUGCACUUAACUAGCUUGUUACCUAAAAGCAGUAGAUGCUUAUUUCUGGAGAUGUAUCCCGAUCUGCUGCCAUCAAUCAACUUGUCAUUUUAGCUAGAUAGGUUUGUGCCGGUUUAUACAGCAGGGACUGAUGUAAAACCUACAGAUCUAACCAAUAAGCAAGAUCUAAAAGAUGCUCAAAAGAAUAAUGUCUAUGUAGUUAUCAUGGAUACUGCAGCAAGGCUUCAAGAUAAAAAAGGCAUGAUGAACGAUUUAAAAGACGUAAAGAAAUUUUUGUAUCCCACAGAAGUGCUACUACUUGUUGAUGCCGUGACUGGACAAGAAGCUGCAGAUUGAACCAUAUCAUAUUUGUGUGUGUUUGUGUGUGUCUUUACUUCUCAGAUUGAAUUUUCGUAUUUGGUAAGCUUCUUACUAAAGUGGUGUGUUUGGUCUCUGAGCUUUUUUACUUUCAUGUGUUAUGUUUUUAGUGCAGGGAAACUGGAUUGGAUCUUCUAAACGUAACUCGCUUUUGGAUUCUCUGGUUGCAGGAGCAGUAAUCAAGAUUCCCAAGUAAGUGACCUUUUGGUUCCAUAAUACAAUCUUGAGAUUUCCAUGUCUUAACAUCCUAACAGGUUAUAACAGGCAGUCCUGUGUCACAGAUCUAAAGGCCUAAGCUCUUAUACAUUAUACGGGCAAUAGACAUUCAUAGAUCAUUAAAUUUUUUCUUAGUUUGUGAAUGGGAAGCUUUGAGUUGUCUCCACUGUUUGUGCUUUUGGUCUCUGAUAUAUAUAUAGGAGGUCCCUUGAGUAGUCCCCCGAACAGCUAUCCUGUUAAUCUCAGUCUCCUGCUCCGAGCGAUUCAUCAACCUGUAGAGAACAUCUAGAAGUAAGUGAAUCCUGAUGCUAGUGUUGGACACUAUUGAAGUCUGGAGGAUGACCGUAACGUUUACUGAACAUGUCCUGCAUCUUCAAGGAUAGAUUUAUACUGAUCUCUCUCUCCUCUAGUAGCCAUAUUAGCUUCAAUCCUCUAUAAAUGAGUAGCUUCAAUCUUUUCCAUUCCCUCGGCUUCAACAGCAGCGUGCUGCACAGCCUCUGCCAAAGCACAUCAAAAUGCUUUAGACAACGUAACAACAUGAGUUAAAAGGAGAAAAAUGAGUACUUUCUAAAAAUACAAACAUGGAUAGAUACUUGACCUGAGACAAAACAAAUAUCGACGUCUCUCAUCUCCCAAUUUAUCUUGAGAAAGCAAGGGACAAUGUAAGCAAGUCUGUUCUUCUUGGUUGUUCCCAGAGCAACCUGAACAUUAAACGUAAUGCAUAAGCAACAAAUGAUAUCUUUAUCACUUGAUGAACAUAUUGAAGAACAUAGCUGUUACAGGCUCAACCUUAGACAUCAGUCUCUAGUGAAGAAUUUGGUGGUAAUAAAGCCCUCUGAAGCAAGAUAUGUUCAUCUUUGAAGGGCCAAGUAUACGAGAGAAGGAAGCUUAUAUAUACGUAUCCCAAGAUGUGGAUGUAUUAUAAAGGCGAUGUUCAUCUUUGAAGCUUCUUUUUCUAUUUCCACGUGUGAUCUGACUUUGCAGACUGAGUUGGGUACUUUUGUUUUUCUGUUUGCGGGUUUCAUGUCCGGGUUAUUUGAUCUUCAACCAAUUGGAAUAAUAAUAAAUUUGGGUAAAGAUAAAGCCCGCAGUUCGGCCCAA